rnacentral:rRNA from 1 species
AUUGAACGCUGGCGGCAGGCCUAACACAUGCCAGUCGAACGGUAACAGGAAACAGCUUGCUGUUUCGCUGACGAGUGGCGGACGGGUGAGUAAUGUCUGGGAAACUGCCUGAUGGAGGGGGAUAACUACUGGAAACGGUAGCUAAUACCGCAUAACGUCGCAAGACCAAAGAGGGGGACCUUCGGGCCUCUUGCCAUCGGAUGUGCCCAGAUGGGAUUAGCUAGUAGGUGGGGUAACGGCUCACCUAGGCGACGAUCCCUAGCUGGUCUGAGAGGAUGACCAGCCACACUGGAACUGAGACACGGCCCAGACUCCUACGGUGGGCAGCAGUGGGGAAUAUUGCGCAAUGGGGGCGAGCCUGAUGCAGCCAUGCCGCGUGUAUGAAGAAGGCCUUCGGGUUGUAAAGUACUUUAAGCGGGGAGGAAGGGAGUAAAGUUAAUACCUUUACUCAUUGACGUUACCCGCAGAAGAAGCACCGGCUAACUCCGUG